rnacentral:misc_RNA from 1 species
GUAUAUGAGAUUUAACUUUUUACCCAAUUGUAGAGAGAAACAACCUUCAUAGAGAGAAUACUUAGAUGGUAAGAGAAGAAUAGAAUGGGAAAUUAAUUGUGGGGUUGAAAGUGAUCACUCAAUUCAUGAUACCUAUAAAAGUUUUCUUUUCCAAAAGCAAUCUUCCCUUUCAAUGGGAUCACUCCUUUUAAUGGAAUUAGGCAGGAUCUAUUAUUAAUGUAUAACUGGGGUGGUUAUGUAGUCCUUUUGCCUAAAAGGUCAGCAAUUUCAUAAAUUCUUCUUUUACAUUAGCAAAUCAGAUUGAUUCCCUUUUUCGAUGAAUGAAAAUUUGUGAUUCUGCAUUUUCUG